rnacentral:tRNA from 1 species
UCCCUGGUGGUCCAGUGGUUAAGGCUCUGUACUUCUACUGCAGGGGCUGUGAGUUCAAUUCCUGGUCAGGGAA